UCUCUCCUGAAGCUGAGUGCUCAAUUGAAGAGGACUCCCAUCCCCGCUAGAGAAGG
rnacentral:sRNA from 1 species